GCGAGGCCGGCAGCUGUGGAUCGAAGAUCGAUCGAUGCCCAGCUUGCAGAGCAAGAGAGCCGUAGUCUAGUCAUGUGUGCUUAUCAAAGGGCGGCUUACUGGGAGUUCCUUGGCAUUCUGUCCACCUCCUUGCUGAUCUUGCAGAAAGCCUCUCAAAUCUGUUUGUGUUUUUGGAGGUGGGCAUACUGCCAAUGGAGCUGUGUAGGCCUCCCUUUGUAAAGCCCACAUGACUCAAAUCAGAGCUUCCUCCCUAGAUUUGAUCAUCACUUGUGUCAGAAACGCCUUCAUUAAGCUUGCUUUGCUGCCUUUUCUUGCGUGUUCAUUUGUUGGGCCUUUUGAUGCCCUCUUGUGUUUUCUUGGCUGGGGUUAUUAAGGUUCAUCAUGGUCCAUGAUAUGCUUUUGGGGAAAGUUUUGGAGCGAGCUAUCUACACAUGGUAGUCUGAUCUGCUCUUUUGCCGACCUAAUUUAGUCUGCUUCCUUGAUGCCGGCCGGCCAUGGUGUUGGGGAAGUGAAGAUAGUUUUACCCCUUCCUCAUGCCAUUCUUUGGGAUCCGUCGUUUUCGCCGCUAAUCGUUCGUUUUGCGGCCAAGUUCUUCGGAAGGCUAACCCCGUAGUUCAUGGCUGCUUUCUUGCUGGUUUUGCAUGCAGUUCUGUUCUUCGAUCUUUGAUGGAGGUCAUCUCUGCAACAUCUGACUAUGAGACCAGGCUAGCAAUGAGAAUCUCGUGUAUACAGAACUUUUAUGCGCUUCAUGAUUUCACCCGCAGACCUCCCCUGACCCUGAGACACAGCUAGCUGUACAGUCUGUGACCGAAUGAAUUUUGUUUGUACUGGCUUUGGUCUUUUGAUUGGCAAAGAAGUGCUAGUAGUAUGGCAGUCAAAGGCCUGCUUCUCCUUCUAUCUCGUCUUGUAUAGCUUCUCUUCACCCAAUGCAUGGAAAAAUACAGUACAGUGGAGCUUGACUUGUUAUUAAUUAGGAAUAUGUAUCUGGAACUGUACGUUGUUUUUACUUAGUUUCAUUUGCAUCAAUGAUGAUUAAAUGCAUGA